rnacentral:rRNA from 1 species
GACGAACGCUGGCGGCGUGCUUAACACAUGCCAGUCGAACGGAAAGGCCCUGCUUUUGUGGGGUGCUCGAGUGGCGAACGGGUGAGUAACACGUGAGUAACCUGCCCUUGACUUUGGGAUAACUUCAGGAAACUGGGGCUAAUACCGGAUAGGAGCUCCUGCUGCAUGGUGGGGGUUGGAAAGUUUCGGCGGUUGGGGAUGGACUCGCGGCUUAUCAGCUUGUUGGUGGGGUAGUGGCUUACCAAGCCUUUGACGGGUAGCCGGCCUGGGAGGGUGGCCGGCCACAUUGGGACUGCGGUACGGCCCAGACGCCUACGGUAGGCAGUAGUGGGGAGUAUUGCACAAUGGGCGGGAGCCUGAUGCAGAGACGCCGCGUGCGGGAUGACGGCCUUCGGGUUGUAAACCGCUUUCGCCUGUGACGAAGCGUGAGUGACGGUAAUGGGUAAAGAAGCACCGGCUAACUACGUG